AUUUAGAGGAAAUUUUUGAGCUGAACAGUAUUUUUUUUCUCCCUCUCUCUCUCUCUGAAAUAUUGCUGAGAUUUAAAGGAGGACGAAGACAACAGAUUCAUAGCUGGGUCUUGCUGUUUUCCUGACGCUGACCACAGCGGAUCUAGUUUCUCUGCAGAAGACAGCAAGAUGCCCCAGGGAAUGUUUGUGAAAAAGGAUGACUGGAUGGGAAGCAAGCUGAAGAAAAAGAAGGAAAGAAAGAGAGAAAUCAGUAAAUCACCACACAAGAGGUGGAGAAGAGGACUUAUAAAUAUUGUUUCUAUGACAUUUGAAAAUAAAUGUUUUACUCCAUGCUAAUAGUGAAUGUGAUGUCUUCAGUUUGAAGGGCUUUAAGUGAAGCUCAUUAAAACCCACUAUUUUCCA
rnacentral:lncRNA from 1 species